CUACCGUUAAGUUUUAUUAUCGUUUUUAAAUUGCGAUUCUGUAGAGAGAUAAAAACGAUGGAUAUAGUUGGAAAAUCUAAGGAAGAUGCUUCGCUUCCUAAAGCUACAAUGACUAAAAUUAUAAAGGAGAUGUGACCAGGAGAUGUUCGCGUUGCUAGAGAUGCUCAGGAUCUUCUUAUCGAGUGUUGUGUUGGUAAUAAGAUGAUCACUCUUUUGAUUGUUUCUCUUUGUCAUUAGGUGUAAUGUAGCUGAUCAUUAGAAAUGUUGUUGGUCCAAUGUGUUUAUGGCAGAGUUUAUAAAUCUUAUAUCGUCAGCGUCUAAUGAAGUAUGUAACAAAGAGGAUAAACGAACGAUCGCGCCUGAGCAUGUACUCAAAGCGCUUCAGGUUCUUGGAUUUGGGGAAUACGUUGAGGAAGUCUACUCUGCUUAUGAGCAACAUAAAUACGAACUUUUAAGUUGCAGACCAGAGAUGUAAUUGUGUUUUCCUGCGUUUUUGAAAUUGUGCAGCAAGAUUCACAGAGGAGUGUGAAGAUGACACAGGAGCAGAGAUGACUGAAGAGUAAGCAGCAGCGGAACAGCAGAGGAUGUUUGCAGAAGCUCGAGCUAGAAUGAAUGGUGGUGGUGUUUGAUGUUUCUGUUCUGCAACCUGAGCAGCAACUAGAUACCCAACAGCCAAAUCUACAAAACUAAUCAAGAAGGGGGAAUACUUCUUUUAACAUUUUUUUUUCCGUAGCAUUUCUCUGUAAAGUGCAAAGAUUCGUCUUCUUGGUGUUGAUAAGCUCUUUACAUUUUUAACUUAGAUUUGUGUUUU